rnacentral:lncRNA from 1 species
AUGCUCGACAUUCUCCAAGCUAGGCUUCAGCAAUAUGUGAACUGUGAACUUCCAGAUGUUCAAGCUGGUUUUAGAAAAGGCAGAGGAACCAGAGAUCAAAUUGCCAACAUCUGCUGCAUCAUGGAAAAAGCAAGAGAGUUCCAGAAAACCAUCUAUUUCUGCUUUAUUGACUAUGCCAAAGCCUUUGACCGUGUGGAUCACAAGAAACUGUGGGAAAUUCUGAAAGAGAUGGGCAUAACAGACCACCUGACCUGCCUCUUGAGAAACCUGUAUGCAGGUCAGGAAGCAACAGUUAGAACUGGACAUGGAAGAACAGACUGGUUCCAAAUAGGAAAAGGACUAUGUCAAGGCUGUAUAUUGUCACCCUGCUUAUUUAACUUCUAUGCAGAGUACAUCAUGAGAAAUGCUGGGCUGGAAGAAGCACAAGCUGGAAUCAAGAUUGCCGGGAGAAAUAUCAAUAACCUCAGAUAUGCAGAUGACACCACCCUUAUGGCAGAAAGUGAAGAGGAACUCAAAAGCCUUGUGAUGAAAGUGAAAGACGAGAGUGAAAAAGUUGGCUUAGAGCUCAACAUUCAGAAAAUGAAGAUCAUGGCAUCUGGUCCCAUCACUUCAUGGGAAAUAGAUGGAGAAACAGUGGAAACAGUGUCAGACUUUAUUUUGGGGGGCUCCAAAAUCACUGCAGAUGGUGACUGCAGCCAUGAAAUUAAAAGACACUUACUCCUUGGGAGAAAAGUUAUGACCAACCUAGAUAGCAUAUUCAAAAGCAGAGACAUUACUUUGCCGACUAAGGUCCGUCUAGUCAAGGCUAUGGUUUUUCCAGUGGUCAUGUAUGGAUGUGAGGGUUGGACUAUAAAGAAGGCUGAGCGCCAAAGAAUUGAUGCUUUUGAACUGUGGUGUUGGAGAAUACUCCUGAGAGUCCCUUGGACUGCAAGGAGAUCCAACCAGUCCAUUCUGAAGGAGAUCAGCCCUGGGAUUUCUUUGGAAGGAAUGAUGCUAAAGCUGAAACUCCAGUACUUUGGCCACCUCAUGCGAAGAGUUGACUCAUUGGAAAAGACUCUGAUGCUGGGAGGGAUUGGGGGCAGGAGGAGAAGGGGACGACAGAGGGUGAGAUGGUUGGAUGGCAUCACUGACUCGAUGGACGCGAACCUGAGUGAACUCCGAGAGUUGGUGAUGGACAGGGAGGUCUGGCGUGCUGCGAUUCAUGGGGUUGCAAAGAGUUGGACACGACUGAGCGACUGA